UAGGGAAUCUUCCACAAUGGACGCAAGUCUGAUGGAGCAACGCCGCGUGAGUGAAGAAGGUUUUCGGACCGUAAAGCUCUGUUGUUGGUGAAGAAGGAUAGAGGUAGUAACUGGCCUUUAUUUGACGGUAAUCAACCAGAAAGUCACGGCUAACUACGUGCCAGCAGCCGCGGUAAUACGUAGGUGGCAAGCGUUGUCCGGAUUUAUUGGGCGUAAAAGCGAGCGCAGGCGGAAGAAUAAGUCUGAUGUGAAAGCCCUCGGCUUAAACCG
rnacentral:rRNA from 1 species